AUGAACGCUAGCUACAGGCUUAACACAUGCAAGUCGAGGGGCAGCAUGGUCUUAGCUUGCUAAGGCCGAUGGCGACCGGCGCACGGGUGAGUAACACGUAUCCAACCUGCCGUCUACUCUUGGACAGCCUUCUGAAAGGAAGAUUAAUACAAGAUGGCAUCAUGAGUCCGCAUGUUCACAUGAUUAAAGGUAUUCCGGUAGACGAUGGGGAUGCGUUCCAUUAGAUAGUAGGCGGGGUAACGGCCCACCUAGUCUUCGAUGGAUAGGGGUUCUGAGAGGAAGGUCCCCCACAUUGGAACUGAGACACGGUCCAAACUCCUACGGGAGGCAGCAGUGAGGAAUAUUGGUCAAUGGGCGAGAGCCUGAACCAGCCAAGUAGCGUGAAGGAUGACUGCCCUAUGGGUUGUAAACUUCUUUUAUAAAGGAAUAAAGUCGGGUAUGCAUACCCGUUUGCAUGUACUUUAUGAAUAAGGAUCGGCUAACUCCGUGCCAGCAGCCGCGGUAAUACGGAGGAUCCGAGCGUUAUCCGGAUUUAUUGGGUUUAAAGGGAGCGUAGAUGGAUGUUUAAGUCAGUUGUGAAAGUUUGCGGCUCAACCGUAAAAUUGCAGUUGAUACUGGAUAUCUUGAGUGCAGUUGAGGCAGGCGGAAUUCGUGGUGUAGCGGUGAAAUGCUUAGAUAUCACGAAGGACUCCGAUUGCGAAGGCAGCCUGCUAAGCUGCAACUGACAUUGAGGCUCGAAAGUGUGGGUAUCAAACAGGAUUAGAUACCCUGGUAGUCCACACGGUAAACGAUGAAUACUCGCUGUUUGCGAUAUACAGCAAGCGGCCAAGCGAAAGCGUUAAGUAUUCCACCUGGGGAGUACGCCGGCAACGGUGAAACUCAAAGGAAUUGACGGGGGCCCGCACAAGCGGAGGAACAUGUGGUUUAAUUCGAUGAUACGCGAGGAACCUUACCCGGGCUUAAAUUGCAGAUGAAUUACGGUGAAAGCCGUAAGCCGCAAGGCAUCUGUGAAGGUGCUGCAUGGUUGUCGUCAGCUCGUGCCGUGAGGUGUCGGCUUAAGUGCCAUAACGAGCGCAACCCUUGUUGUCAGUUACUAACAGGUUCCGCUGAGGACUCUGACAAGACUGCCAUCGUAAGAUGUGAGGAAGGUGGGGAUGACGUCAAAUCAGCACGGCCCUUACGUCCGGGGCUACACACGUGUUACAAUGGGGGGGUACAGAGGGCCGCUACCACGCGAGUGGAUGCCAAUCCCAAAAACCUCUCUCAGUUCGGACUGGAGUCUGCAACCCGACUCCACGAAGCUGGAUUCGCUAGUAAUCGCGCAUCAGCCACGGCGCGGUGAAUACGUUCCCGGGCCUUGUACACACCGCCCGUCAAGCCAUGGGAGCCGGGGGUACCUGAAGUGCGUAACCGCGAGGAGCGCCCUAGGGUAAAACUGGUGACUGGGGCU
rnacentral:rRNA from 1 species